rnacentral:rRNA from 1 species
GACAGAGGAGCCAAGCGUUGUCCGGAUUGACUGGGCGUAAAGCGCACGCAGGCGGUUGCGCGCGGGGGGGGUGAAAGCUGGUGGCUUAACUGCCAGAUGCCAUCCCAUACGGCGCGACUCGAGCCCGUGAGAGGUCCACGGAAUUGCCGGUGUAGUGGUGAAAUGCGUAGAGAUCGGCAGGAACACCCAGGGGGAAACCAGUGGACUGGCACGGUGCUGACGCUCAGGUGCGAAAGCGUGGGGAGCGAACCGG